rnacentral:rRNA from 1 species
CCUACGGGAGGCAGCAGUGAGGAAUAUUGGUCAAUGGACGAGAGUCUGAACCAGCCAAGCAGCGUGAAGGAUGACUGCCCUAUGGUUUGUAAACUUCUUUUAUAUGGGAAUAAAUCGUUCCACGUGUGGGCUUUUGUAUGUACCAUAUGAAUAAGGAUCGGCUAACUCCGUGCCAGCAGCCGCGGUAAUACGGAGGAUCCGAGCGUUACCCGGAUGUAUUGGGUGUAAAGGGAGCGUAGGUGGAUUGUUAAGUUAGUUGUGAAAGUUUGCGGCUCAACCGUAAAAGUGCAGUUGAAACUGGCAGUCUUGAGUACAGUAGAGGUGGGCGGAAUUCGGGGUGUAGCGGUGAAAUGCUUAGAUAUCA